GCAUCAUUGGUCUAGUGGUAGAAUUCAUCGUUGCCAUUUACAUUCAAAACACCCUUGGGAUUCGAUGAGGCAGGCCCGCAUUCGAUUCGCGGAUGAUGCA